rnacentral:rRNA from 1 species
UACGUAGGGUGCAAGCGUUGUCCGGAAUUAUUGGGCGUAAAGAGCUCGUAGGCGGUUUGUCGCGUCUGCUGUGAAAACUCGGGGCUUAACUCCGGGCCUGCAGUGGGUACGGGCAGACUAGAGUGCGGUAGGGGAGACUGGAAUUCCUGGUGUAGCGGUGAAAUGCGCAGAUAUCAGGAGGAACACCGGUGGCGAAGGCGGGACUCUGGGCCGAUACUGACGCUGAGGAGCGAAAGCGUGGGGAGCGAACAGG